rnacentral:tRNA from 1 species
GCCGCAGUCGCAUAACCUGGUAUUGCGCAGGACUGGAAAUCCUGUUUCCUUCGGGAUAUCCCGGUUCAAAUCCGGGCUGCGGCG